ACACUGUGGCUUAAGAAACACAUGCAUAAAACAAGAAGGUGGUUCACCCAGGGCGAGGCUCGGCCAUUGUACUCCAGUUGUGCUGACCCCUGCAAAUUCCCCAAAUGUGGGAAUCUCGACUGCAUAAUAUCUGGUAAUGGGGGACUGCGUUCGUGUCUGCUAA